UAGGGAAUCUUCCGCAAUGGGCGAAAGCCUGACGGAGCAACGCCGCGUGAGUGAUGAAGGUCUUCGGAUCGUAAAACUCUGUUAUUAGGGAAGAACAUAUGUGUAAGUAACUAUGCACGUCUUGACGGUACCUAAUCAGAAAGCCACGGCUAACUACGUGCCAGCAGCCGCGGUAAUACGUAGGUGGCAAGCGUUAUCCGGAAUUAUUGGGCGUAAAGCGCGCGUAGGCGGUUUAUUAAGUCUGAUGUGAAAGCCCACGGCUCAACCGUGGAGGGUCAUUGGAAACUGGAAAACUUGAGUGCAGAAGAGGAAAGUGGAAUUCCAUGUGUGGCGGUGAAAUGCGCAGAGAUAUGGAGGAACACCAGUGGCGAAGGCGACUUUCUGGUCUGUAACUGACGCUGAUGUGCGAAAGCGUGGGGAUCAAACAGG
rnacentral:rRNA from 1 species